UGAAUCGAGGCGGGGGGACACAUGCGCUGGAGCAUUUGGUUUAAUUAUGUGCAACGAUUAGAACCUCACGUGGUCGGGACAUCCACAGCAAUCACCAGAGAUAGAUUGGGGCGUUCUGGAAAGGUAUCUGAGGAGGUGCAUGUCUCAUUUCAUCUCCAGUUUAGAACGGUUGUGUUAAGCCCUCCCGCAACGGCCACAACCACUAUACGUUAUCCCCACCGUUUUGCACGGGAUCUCUAGGGAGACUGCCAGUGUUAACCGGGAGGAAGGUGGCGAUGACGUCAAGUCAUCAUGGCCGUUGCGGGCAGGACCACACCCUUUCUCCACUGGCAAGGACAAAGAGAAGCGACCUCGCGAGUGCCAGUUGAUUGAAAUCAACUAUGUCAUAGUCCGGAUU
rnacentral:rRNA from 1 species